rnacentral:rRNA from 1 species
AUUGAACGCUGGCGGCAAGCCUAACACAUGCAAGUCGAACGAGUGGCGGACGGGUGAGUAAUGUCUGGGAAACUGCCUGCUGGAGGGGGAUAACUACUGGAAACGGUAGCUAAUACCGCAUAGCCUCGGCUGUGCCCAGAUGGGAUUAGCUAGUAGGUGGGGUAAAGGCUCACCUAGGAGACGAUCCCUAGCUGGUCUGCGAGGAUGACCAGCCCCAGUGGAACUGAGACACGGGCCAGACUCCUACGGGAGGCAGCAGUGGGGAAUAUUGCACAAAUGGCGCAAGCCUGAUGCAGCCAUGCCGCGUGUAUGAAGAAGGCCUUCGGGUUGUAAAGUACUUUCAGCGGGGAGGCGUUACCCGCAGAAGAAGCACCGGCUAACUCCGUGCCAGCAGCCGCGGUAAUUC